rnacentral:rRNA from 1 species
UGGGGAAUCUUGGUCAAUGGGCGCAAGCCUGAACCAGCGACGCCGCGUGAGUGAUGAAGGCCUUCAGGUUGUAAAGCUCUGUGGGGAGAGACGAAAGAAUCGGUUCUAACAGGACCGAAGUUGACGGUAUCUCCUUAGCAAGCACCGGCUAACUCUGUGCCAGCAGCCGCGGUAAGACAGAGGGUGCAAACGUUGCUCGGAAUCACUGGGCGUAAAGGGCGUGUAGGCGGGCAGAUAAGUCGGGCGUGAAAUCCCCAGGCUCAACCUGGGAACUGCACUCGAAACUGUUUGUCUUGAGUAUCGGAGAGGAAAGCGGAAUACCUGGUGUAGAGGUGAAAUUCGUAGAUAUCAGGUGGAACACCAGUGGCGAAGGCGGCUUUCUGGACGAUAACUGACGCUGAGACGCGAAAGCGUGGGGAGCAAAC